GCCCGGAUGGUGUAGCUAGGAAUCACUGGAGCUUGCGGAGCUUCGAACCCGGGUUCGAAUCCCGGUCCGGGCGCCA
rnacentral:tRNA from 5 species